CUUUCAUGUUGAGUUCACCGUUGGAGUAGAAAACUAGUGAAUUGUUUCAAGAUGAUGUGGCACAGUGGACCCCAUCUAAAGAAUCCAUUUUGAGUUCACCGCUGUAGAUGCUCUAACAAAAUUUAGAGAUUAAAAUAGUAACUUAAUUUUAGCGACUAAAAUUUCAGUCGCUAACUAUUUUUUAAUUACAUAAUUUAAUUUUCUUUAUUAAUUAAAAAAAUGAAAUAGUUUUUGCAGACAAAAUAUUUAUAAUAGUUAACUAAAACUAAACACGUCUCUAAAAUGGUCACAAAUAUAUUUUAGCCACCGAUUUAGAGACUAAUUUAUUAGUGACCGAUUUAGUGACAUUGAAAUUCAAAGGCUUCAAUCCUUUUCAAAGCUUGAAAGUAAUAAAACUACUAAGUUAAGCUUUACGAUUUUGCUCGCCGUAAACGCAGUUCAUGGGGAGAAAAUCUCACAUUCUACAUCGGUUGCGGUUACCUCGGUGGUUCAAUCGCCGGUGUCGGACUCGUCGACGACGUUAAAGCCUUCGAGUCCAGCGACACCGCGAAGCUUCAGAUGACUACCUUAUGUACACUGAUGCUACGUUUUUAUCUAACAGUAGUGAACUGUUGCUUGAGAUCUUAGGUCCCAACAUUGUUGGUGGAUUGUUUUAUCUUGUACUCGGUGCUCUCCCUGAUGCAAUGAUCAUUCUCGUUACCGUAACCAAAAUUCAUUCAUUUUAUUUUUUUUAAAUUUCAGUUAUUAGAACUCAUUCUCUUUGUUGUUCGAUUAUUAUUAUUUUUUUAAAUUGGAUAGUCACAAAUAUUGAUUUUGUAAAAUUGUUGAUUUUGAGGUUAAUUUGGAAGCAAAGUCUGCCUUCAAUUAGAAUAUUAUUUUUUUGGGGUAAAAAUUUGAGAAAAUAAAUUAAUUAAAGGCAGUACAUGUUUAGGUGUUAAUCUUAGUAAUUCAGAUUUAGUUUCAACAGAUAAGUAAAGUCUAGUAAAAGAUUGUUUCAGGAUUCGAACUCGAGUAACUAUUUAAAUCCAAUCAUUUGGUUGGAUAUAUUCUACUAUUGUAACAAAAAGAAUAAAAAUUUAGUUUAUUUUUAUUUUCUAGUAAAAUUUCAGUCAAGUGAGUGCCUGAAAUAUAUUUGGUGUCCUAAUACUACAUGCAUGCUUCUGAUUGGAACUUGAUUUUACAAAUGAAGUUGAAUGUUGCUUUUUAUAUCUGAUGUGCCAUUUCACAUAUUGAGGAAAUAAGGACAAAUUAGAGCACCAACAUUGAUGUAUCUUAUGUGCAAUGCCUAAUUGAUUUCACUGCAUUUCAGGCUAAUGGAUCUUGAAGAGCAUUCUAGAACAGAGGAAAGUGACUUUGAAUUGCUCAAGAAGGCUCUUACCAUUGAUAACCAGAAAGAUAACAAACAAAUGGCAAAUGAUUCAGAGGAAACAAAGUUGAU